GGUCAAGAGCGACUGCACGCCCAUCAGAUUCCACCAGCACGUAGCGGCCACCCCUCCCUCGGUUCUCCCUGCGGCCAGCUCUUCACGCCAAUGCGUCGCCGCCGCCCCUUUCCCCGCCACGACUUCUCCUUUCCGCUUCCUCUCCACACGACGGCUUCGUCCGACACCUCCUCUCCCUGCCCUAGGGUCAAUGGCCUCUUCCCCUCCCUGCACUGCACAAGUGCUACAGCCGGCUCGAAGGUGUACAUGAAUUUCUUACCAAAAACUCAUCUUUAACAGUACAUAUUUGUCUGCAAGGACUCUAGCUCGGUGCUUUUAAUUCAAUACCACUGUGACACAACUUCAUAUAUUACCUCAAGAGCUUCAUAGAGGUGCAAGCCAUAAUGAUGACAAGGUCCUUCUUCUUGCUGCUACAAAUACUCUAUAUGCUCUCGAUCAGAUAUAGAACAUCUAUCAAUUAUUCACCUGCAUGAUCUUAACGCCAGGCAACGCAUGUUCAAGGUAAUGAACUGGCAACAUCUGGGCAUUGCUACAAACUUCAGCUACCCUUGAUAUCUCUGCUAAGUUACAUAACAUGCUAAGAACAUGCUAAUAAGUUCUGUUUUCACAAAGAGUUGGAGCAAGCACUUGGAAUGUUUUUAGUCCCUCUACAUUUAUUUGUUGUUGUUCUGAUUUCACAAAGAGUUGAUUAAGUUACAUAACAUGCUAAUAAGUUUUAUACCACAUAUAUAUUUAUGUU